rnacentral:lncRNA from 1 species
CAAAAUUAAGGCAACUUUAUAAUGAUACUAAGACUGAUUUGUUGUAGAUUAGCAAUAUUUUGUGUUCGUUAGCUAGCUUGCUGGCAGGGCUGCAAACAAGCUCACUUGGCUAGCUAGUCUUGUGAGCUACCUAGCUAGUUAGCUAGGCAGUCUUGUUAGCUACUGUAGCUAGCUAGUUUUCUAGGCAGUCUGGUUAGCUAGCUAGCUAGUUAUCUAUGCUAGUUGUUAUCUUGCGUAACUGAUAUGCUUAUAAUUAUACGGGACACUUCAUGUUUUGUGGAUAAUAUUUACAUUUACAGAGCUCCAUUCCUGACAGGCGGAUCAGAUUAGCGUUCAGCCUCAGAGCUUGAUCAGAUACGAUAUCAGCCUCAAGAGGCUGAUAAGUCAAGAUGCUGCCUUGUACAGUAGGCUGUUUCAUGAGAAAAGCUCCUUGCAGGCAUAUUAACAGUCAAAGUGCCUUAUAGGCUGAUGCAUAUGAUCCAGUGGGAUCUAUUCCCACAAGGCUGAUCAGAUUCAAUAGCAGCCUCAGAAGCUGAUAAGUCAGCAUGCUGCCUCGUUGGCUGUUUUAAUGAGAGCAUGUUUUGUCUAUCUAUAUGAAUGGGGCCAAGACAGAUACCUGACCUUAAUUGUAGUCAUUCUUCAAUCAAUGAUUGGAUGUAUUACUUUGUUUCACUGAUGUUUCUGUCUUUAUCGUAUAACUGUGAUGGUUGACUGUGACAUUAAAGAAAAGAAGGCAAUCGAAUCAGUCUUCCCACAGUCUGCAGUGUUGCUUUGCUGGUUCCAUGAAGCCUAUUACAAGACACGACAGACCAACACUAACGUCGGCCAUUGAAACAGCAGUGGCACAGCCUCACAGACCACAGAAUAUCGGCAGUCAUUUUCUGUUCAUUUUCCUAAUGAUUCUACGUGUUGAUUGGCCACAGUUCGUCCACACCCAACAGGUGAUCUUCUGUUAGGGCUGUUUUACAUGAUGUCCCUCAGUGAUGACUUCAUAGAUGUAUAGUCUGACCAGUU